UACGAAGGGUGCAAACGUUGCUCGGAAUUAUUGGGCGUAAAGCGCACGUAGGCGGCUUAGCAAGUCGGAAGUGAAAGCCCUUGGCUCAACCAAGGAAGUGCUUUCGAAACUGCUGAGCUUGAGUAGUUAAGAGGAUCGCGGAAUUCCCGGUGUAGAGGUGAAAUUCGUAGAUAUCGAGAGGAACACCGGUGGCGAAGGCGGCCUUCUGGACAGUGACUGACGCUGAGACGCGAAAGCGUGGGGAGCAAACAGG
rnacentral:rRNA from 1 species